GGUGGCUCAGUGGUAGAGUGCUUGCCUUGCAUGCAUGAGGCCUUGGGUUUGAUUCCUAUGCACCA
rfam:Dipodomys ordii contig_260, whole genome shotgun sequence.